rnacentral:rRNA from 1 species
CUGGCUCAGGAUGAACGCUGGCGGCGUGCUUAACACAUGCAAGUCGAACGAAGCAACUUAUUACGAUCCCUUCGGGGUGACGAUUGUUGACUGAGUGGCGGACGGGUGAGUAACGCGUGGGUAACCUACCUGUACAGGGGGACAACAGUUGGAAACGACUGCUAAUACCGCAUAAGCGCACAGCUUCGCAUGAAGCAGUGUGAAAAGUUAUUUCGGUACAAGAUGGACCCGCGUCUGAUUAGCUAGUUGGUGAGGUAACGGCCCACCAAGGCGACGAUCAGUAGCCGACCUGAGAGGGUGACCGGCCACAUUGGGACUGAGACACGGCCCAAACUCCUACGGGAGGCAGCAGUGGGGAAUAUUGCACAAUGGGCGCAAGCCUGAUGCAAGCGACGCCGCGUGAGCGAAGAAGUAUUUCGGUAUGUAAAGCUCUAUCAGCAGGGAAGAUAAUGACGGUACCUGACUAAGAAGCACCGGCUAAAUACGUGCCAGCCGCCGC